ACGGAGGGUGCAAACGUUGUUCGGAAUCAUUGGGCGUAAAGGGCUCGCAGGCUGUCUUGCAGGUCGGGUGUGAAAUCCCGGGGCUCAACCCCGGAAUUGCGCUCGAAACCGUGAGACUUGAGUUACUGAGGGAGAGGUAGAAUUCCUGGUGUAGAGGUGAAAUUCGUAGAUAUCAGGAGGAAUACCGGUGGCGAAGGCGACCUCUUGGCAGAUAACUGACGCUGAGGAGCGAAAGCGUGGGGAGCAAACAGG
rnacentral:rRNA from 1 species